AGCUUUGUGCAGUGGCAGUAUUGUAGCCAAUGAGGUUUAUCCGAGGCGCGACUAUUGCUAAUUGAAAACUUUUCCCAUAUAACUUCCAUCAGCAAAUCCUGUUGGUUCUACCUUCAUUAAAUAUCCAGAA
rnacentral:snRNA from 1 species